rnacentral:rRNA from 1 species
CCCUUAAGUCAGAAUCCGUGCUAGAAACGAUGAUGUUGGUGUCGCACAUUAGACUUGUGUUUAAAUAGAGCUUUGCUCGUGAACCAAAUAUGGUGGGCUGGGUUGUCUUUGCGGAAACGCUUAGGCGACUUGUCUACGAAUUGUAAUCAUAAUAUGGGCGGCGGUGAAUCCUUUGCAGACGACUUGAAUGGGAACGGGGUACUGUAAGUGGUAGAGUAGCCUUGUUGCUACGAUCCACUGAGGUUAAGCCCUUGUUCUAAAGAUUUGUUCA